GUACAGGUAUGCACCACCAUUCCCGGCUAGAACACCUUCAUCCUCUAUUUUCAUCCUCCUAUUUUAACUUCGUCCUCCUAUUUUAACUUCAUCCUCCUAUUUUAACUUCAUCCUCCUAUUUUAACUAUAAUUUGUAUCCAUUAUCCCAACUCUCCCUAACGUGGGAGGGUCCAACCGGGGGCACUUUAUCCCAGCACCCAGACCAGAAACUUCAGAUUUUCUAACCUCCCGCCCUAGGAUAAGUAGUGACAUUGCCAAGCCUGUGUGAAAACACACAUCCCGGGCUGUGAAGGCAGCUGGGUGAACAAUGACUCCGAGAAGCCCGCAAGGGCAGGUAUGCGGCCGGUGGAGGGGAGAGGUCAGGGUCAGGGUCAGGGUCAGGGUCAGAGGUCAGCAUCUGAAGGCUCAGAUUUAAGGAUCAGGAGGCAGGUACAGCGGAUCUUUGUGGCCCCUGGGCUGCAGAGCACAGAGCACUUGUCUAUGCAGUCUCCGACCUCCCAGAGGGUUCACUGCUGGCUAAGCCUGAUUGGCAUCUGCCGUCCAAACGGAGGCAGUUUCUUCUUAUUAACAUCAUCCUCACCCCGUGCGCAGCAGCACGCACUUCCCACAGGACAAACACUCCCGGUGUUGUGAUCGGGUGAGUUUGAGGUGGGCCUCUUGCGCUGGAAGCAGCCAUUCUUCCGGUGAGAGCAGAGGAGGCCCGUGCAAGGGGACAGGAACAGCCGGUAGCCAGAGGAAAGCCGAGGGCUGGGGCCAGUCCAGCGGCCCCUGCGCAUGAUACCUGCUGACCACAGGCAACAGCCGGCGAGGUGGUGUCAAAGAACGGCUGGCCGCCACCAGCAGGAAGAGGUUAGCAGGCGAAGACUCUGCUUUCGUCGUUAUUCUAUUUCACCCUAAGGCUGCGGAGGGUGAAGUUCUGGUCUCCCAGAGCCAUUCUGGCCUGGGGUGCAUUUGCUGGGUCAGCGCCCUGAGGCAGGGCUUGAAGUUGGUUCUCGGCCCCGCAUGGUGGCAUAUCCCUGUACUCCCAGCAGCCUGGAAGCUGAGGCAGGAGAAUCACAAGAUCGGAGCACAGCCUGAGCGGUGAAGUUCAGUGAAGUGCGGCGAAGGCUUUCAAAUUCUUUCAGAAAGAUGGCAAAAUGGCGCUCAUUUGAACAGGAUCCGUGGAAGAAACAAUGCACGCCCUCACUGAACUUCAUACUCAGGAUCUUGGAGAAAACCACCACCUUCUCAACUUCCACACCUGACUUUUCUAUGAAUUUCCUCCUAAAACCAGACCCUAACUUCAGUAAAACCUUCAAACAUAGACUGAAGGGCCUCAAGAUGAAUUCUGCCUCUCACACAAAAAUAACUGAGCUUAACAUGCCAGCACAUUAAAAUGGAUAUUCUUUGAUGCUUUUCAGUUUUUUCCCUAUCAACAUAUGAUCAAAUGUGUGUUAUCCCUUUUUGCCAUGGUUUGUAUAAAACUAUAUCUUCAGGGGAAAAAAAAAU
rnacentral:lncRNA from 1 species